AACGGGGAAUUAGGGUUCGAUUCCGGAGAGGGAGCCUGAGAAACGGCUACCACAUCCAAGGAAGGCAGCAGGCGCGCAAAUUACCCAAUCCCGACACGGGGAGGUAGUGACAAUAAAUACUGAUACAGGGCUCUUUUGGGUCUUGUAAUUGGAAUGAGUACAAUUUAAACCUCUUAACGAGGAACAAUUGGAGGGCAAGUCUGGUGCCAGCAGCCGCGGUAAUUCCAGCUCCAAUAGCGUAUAUUAAAGUUGUUGCAGUUAAAAAGCUCGUAGUUGAACCUUGGGUCUGGCUGGCAGGUCCGCCUCACCGCGUGUACUUGUCCGGCCGGGCCUUCCUUCUGGAGAACCUCAUGCCCUUCACUGGGCGUGUUGGGGACCAGGACUUUUACUUUGAAAAAAUUAGAGUGUUCAAAGCAGGCCUUUGCUCGAAUACGUUAGCAUGGAAUAAUAGAAUAGGACGUGCGGUCCUAUUUUGUUGGUUUCUAGGACCGCCGUAAUGAUUAAUAGGGACAGUCGGGGGCAUCAGUAUUCAAUUGUCAGAGGUGAAAUUCUUGGAUUUAUUGAAGACUAACUACUGCGAAAGCAUUUGCCAAGGAUGUUUUCAUUAAUCAGUGAACGAAAGUUAGGGGAUCGAAGACGAUCAGAUACCGUCGUAGUCUUAACCGUAAACUAUGCCGACUAGGGAUCGGGCGAUGUUCUUUUUCUGACUCGCUCGGCACCUUACGAGAAAUCAAAG
rnacentral:rRNA from 1 species